rnacentral:rRNA from 1 species
CCUACGGGAGGCAGCAGUAGGGAAUAUUGGGCAAUGGAGGCAACUCUGACCCAGCCAUGCCGCGUGCAGGAAGAAGGCGUUAUGCGUUGUAAACUGCUUUUAUAUAGGAAGAAAUAGUCCUUGCGAGGAAAGUUGACGGUACUAUAUGAAUAAGCACCGGCUAACUCCGUGCCAGCAGCCGCGGUAAUACGGAGGGUGCAAGCGUUGUCCGGAUUUAUUGGGUUUAAAGGGUGCGUAGGCGGUUUAUUAAGUCAGUGGUGAAAGACGGUCGCUCAACGAUUGCAGUGCCAUUGAUACUGGUAGACUUGAGUGGGAUUGAGGUAGCUGGAAUGGAUAGUGUAGCGGUGAAAUGCAUAGAUAUUAUCCAGAACACCAAUUGCGUAGGCAAGUUACUAAGUCUCAACUGACGCUGAGGCACGAAAGUGUGGGGUAUCAAACAGGAUUAGAUACCCUGGUAGUCCACACUGUAAACGAUGAUAACUAACUGUUGGCUUUCGAGUCAGUGGUACAGAGAAAUCGUUAAGUUAUCCACCUGGGGAGUACGCCGGCAACGGUGAAACUCAAAGGAAUUGACGGCNGAGAGAGCGACGACGACGACGAGGGAGGAGG